rnacentral:rRNA from 1 species
CCCUUAGAUGUUCUGGGCUGCACGCGCGCUACACUGAAGCGUUCAACGAGUAUUCACCUUGCCCGGGAGGGUUGGGUAAUCUUUUGAAAACGCUUCGUGAUGGGGAUAGAUUAUUGCAAUUAUUAAUCUUCAACGAGGAAUUCCUAGUAAGCGCGAGUCAUCAGCUCGUGCUGAUUACGUCCCUGCCCUUUGUACACACCGCCCGUCGCUCCUACCGAUUGAAUGAUCCGGUGAGGCCCCCGGAUUGUGGCAAUGGCUCUGGUUCGCCAGACCAAUGCUGCGAGAAGCUGUCCAAACCUUAUCAUUUAGAGGAAGGAGAAGUCGUANCA